rnacentral:tRNA from 2 species
GACACUUUGGCCGAGUGGUUAAGGCGACAGACUCGAAAUCUGUUUCAUUCGUGAGCGCAGGUUCAAAUCCUGCAGGUGUCG